rnacentral:rRNA from 1 species
AACUGGUCGAUCCUGCCAGUAGUCAUAUGCUUGUCUCAAAGAUUAAGCCAUGCAUGUCUAAGUAUGAAUAGUAUUCUUGAUACUGUGAAACUGCGAAUGGCUCAUUAAAUCAGUUAUAGUUUAUUUGAUAGUUUGCAACUCGUUUUUCGGAGCGGUGUUGUGCUAGACGGAUAGCCGUGGUAAUUCUAGAGCUAAUACGUGCGACAAGGCCCGAGAGAGAGGUGUGUGUAUGCGCAUUUUUUCUUCUCGAGGGCUGCAUUUGUUAGGUAUAAAGCCAGCAGGAACAUGACUGGUGAAUCAGAAUAACUUUGCUGACCGUUACACAUUUGUGUGUGAUGGUGUCUCAUUCGAAUUUCUGCCCUAUCAACUUUCGAUGGUAAGGUAUUGGCUUACCAUGGUGACAACGGGUGACGGGGAACAUUUGGUUCGAUUCCGGAGAGGGAGCCUGAGAGACGGCUACCACUUCCAAGGAAGGCAGCAGGCGCGCAAAUUACCCAAUCCUGACACAGGGAGGUAGUGACAAUAAAUACCAAUGCACGGUGUUUUUUAUGCACUGUGCAAUUGGAAUGAGAACAAUGUAAAGACCUUAUCAAGGAACAAUUGGAGGGCAAGUCUGGUGCCAGCAGCCGCGGUAAUUCCAGCUCCAAAAGCGUAUACUAAAGUUGUUGCAGUUAAAAAGCUCGUAGUUGGAUUUCAUGCGGGGUUCACGGUGUGUGGUGGGGGUGAGACUCUGUUUCGCCCUUGCCCCGCACUGUUUGGACUCUGCAGUUUUAAUAUUCCCUGGUGGCGCCUUUGGCGCGUGCCCUUGAUUGGGUGUGUGUCAAGUCACGUAGUGGUGGGGCGCUGUUGGGGGCUUUACUUUGAAAAAAUUAGAGUGUUCAAAGCAGGCAGUCAUUUGAUUUGCUUGAAUAGAUUAGCAUGGAACAACGGAAGAGGACUUUUGGGCCUGUACUGUUGGCGUGUGGUGCGGGGUGUGUGGAGUGAGAAACCGCAAGGUUUUCUCAUUCCUCCCUCACCACAUCGGGUCUGAAGUAAUGAUUAAUAGGGACGGUUGGGGGCACUGGUAUUUCGUUGUCAGAGGUGAAAUUCUUGGAUUUACGAAAGACCGCCGACUGCGAAAGCAUUUGCCAAGGACGCUUUCAUUGAUCAAGAACGAAAGUUAGGGGAUCGAAGACGAUUAGAUACCGUCGUAGUCUUAACCAUAAACGAUGCCGGCCAGGGCUCGGUGGGCAGCACAAAUCAUUCUGUGAUGGAGGCGCCAUCGGGACCUUUAGGGAAACCAAAGCGUUUGGGUUCCGGGGGGAGUAUGAUCGCAAGAUUGAAACUUAAAGGAAUUGACGGAAGGGCACCACCAGGAGUGGAGCCUGCGGCUUAAUUUGACUCAACACGGGGAAACUCACCAGGUCCAGACAUGGGAAGGAUUGACAGAUUGACAGCUCUUUCUUGAUUCCAAGGGAGGUGGUGCAACCGUCCAGCGUGCUGUACACGCACAGAUAUAAGAAUGCUCUCAAUGUGUUUCUUCUUCUCAUGUGGGAGAUGUGGAGUUGAUGAUCCGAUGUGGCAAUGCUCAUGUUGAGAGAAGGGAUUCUGUAUGUGAAUGGAGAUGUGUGAAUGAAGAUGUGUGAAUGAGAAUACUGUAAGAGCAAUCACCGAAAUUGAUGAGACUACUUGAAGAAAGAGAAAUGUACUUUGUUGUGUAUGUGAUGAGGGCAUGUUGUUAUGUUGUUUGAUGAUUGUGAACCAUUGUAUUUUUGUUCUCAUUUGCACCUUGAUUAUGUUCGUUGAUUGUUUUGUGUAUUGUGAUUGCUACCAUUCAAGGGAUAUUGUGAGAAGUAGUUACGAGGCCGAGUCAAGCCACCAUGUGACAUUGGGCAUGUGAUGAAGUGAGGUAAAGUGAAGUGAAGUGAAAGGGUAGUGAAUGAUUGAUGUGUUAGUGGGUGCAGGAGAGUGGUUG